GACGAACGCUGGCGGCGUGCCUAACACAUGCAAGUAGAACGCAGUGGCGAACGGGUGAGUAACGCGUAGGAAACUGCCGCAUAGCGGGGGAUAACUAUGGGAAACGAUAGUUAAUCCCGCAUAUGGUGCGAUGGAGCUGCGUUGUAUUAGCUAGUUGGUGAGGUAAAGGCUCACCAAGGCGACGAUACAUAGCCGACCUGAGAGGGUGAACGACCCCACUGGUACUGAGACACCGCCCAAGCUCCUACGGGAGGCAGCAGUAGGGAAUCAUCGGACAUUGACGGCAGUCUGACCGCGUCACUCCGCGUGGUGGAAGAAGGUUUUCGGGUCGUAAAACUCUUUUGUUAGAGAAGCGUUAACUAACCAGAAAGGUACGGCUAACUCCGUGCCAGCAGCCGCGGUAAUUC
rnacentral:rRNA from 1 species